rnacentral:lncRNA from 1 species
CAUUUCUGUAUGUAUAUUUCAAAAUAUUCUCUGAAAAAACCCCCCAAAAUAGAAAGCAAACAAGGAAACAGGCAAAUGCUGAUUGUGAAGCAUUCUACAAGACAACUGUCCUACAUCCUUCAAAAAGGUCAAUGACAUGAAACAUAUACACCCAAAAAGGAGGGAUUAUUCUAGAUUUAAAAGGCCAAAACCCCUCCCCUCCUUCCUGCUUCCCUUCUCACCACGCGAUCUCUGCACACGCCAGCUCCCCUUCACCUUCUUCCACGCUUGGAAGCAGCCUGAGGCCCUCACCAGAAGCCCAGUCCUGAAACUUCCAGCCAGCAGAACUGUGAGCUGAAUAAACUUCUUUUCUCUAUAAAUUACCCAGCUUCAAGUUCUCCUUUAUAGCAACAAUAAAUGGACUAAAAGGGGCUCUAAUCCCAUUCAUGAGGGUUCCACCCUCACGACCUAAUCACCUCCACAGGACCCACCACCAAAUAGCAUCACCUUGGGGGUUAAGGCUUCAUAUAUGACUUUGGUGGGGAUGUAAAGAUUCCAUUCAUUGCACAGGGCAAAGGGAGGCCAUAGCAGCAGGGUCAUAGUGUUCUGGGGCUGCUCACUGCCCCUCACUCCCAGGCCUGCCCCACCCCAGCCA